rnacentral:rRNA from 1 species
GAGUUUGAUCCUGGCUCAGAGCGAACGCUGGCGGCAGGCUUAACACAUGCAAGUCGAGCGCCCCGCAAGGGGAGCGGCAGACGGGAGAGUAACACGUGGGAACGUACCCUUCAGUUCGGAACAACUCAGGGAAACUUGGGCUAAUACCGGAUACGCCCUUACGGGGAAAGAUUUAUUGCCGAAGGAACGGCCCGCGUCCGAUUAGCUUGUUGGUGAGGUAAUGGCUCACCAAGGCGACGAUCGGUAGCUGGUCUGAGAGGAUGACCAGCCUCACUGGGACUGAGACACGGCCCAGACUCCUACGGGAGGCAGCAGUGGGGAAUAUUGGACAAUGGGCGCAAGCCUGAUCCAGCCAUGCCGCGUGGGUGAUGAAGGCCCUAGGGUUGUAAAGCCCUUUCGGCGGGGAAGAUAAUGACGGUACCCGCAGAAGAAGCCCCGGCUAACUUCGUGCCAGCAGCCGCGGUAAUACGAAGGGGGCUAGCGUUGCUCGGAAUUACUGGGCGUAAAGGGUUCGUAGGUGGUGCGGCAAGUUGGAAGUGAAAUCUCUGGGCUUAACCCAGAGGCUGCUUUCAAAACUGCCGUGCUCGAGUGCGAGAGAGGCCAGUGGAAUUGCAGGUGUAGCGGUGAAAUGCGUAGAUAUCUGCAGGAACACCCGUGGCGAAGGCGGCUGGCUGGAUCGCAACUGACACUGAGGAACGAAAGCUAGGGGAGCAAACAGGAUUAGAUACCCUGGUAGUCCUAGCCCUAAACCAUCAGGACUUGGGGUGGCCCGCGUAGGCGGGUCGUCCCGUAGCUAACGCGUUAAGUCCUGCGCCUGGGGAGUACGGUCGCAAGACUGAAACUCAAAGGAAUUGACGGGGGCCCGCACAAGCGGUGGAACAUGUGGUUCAAUUCGACGCAACGCGAAGAACCUUACCUGGGCUUGAACCGCUACUGACCAACGGUAGAAAUAUCGUCUUCCCGCAAGGGACAGUAGUAGAGGUGCUGCAUGGCUGUCGUCAGCUCGUGCCGUGAGGUGUUGGGUUAAGUCCCGCAACGAGCGCAACCCUUACUCGUAGUUGCUACCCGCAAGGGAGAACUCUACGAGGACUGCUCCGGAUAACGGAGAGGAAGGUGGGGAUGACGUCAAGUCAGCACGGCCUUUGUGUCCAGGGCUACACACGUGUUACAAUGCACGGUACAGACUGUUGCGAACCCGCGAGGGGGAGCUAAUCGGAUAAAACCGUGCUCAGUUCGGAUUGCAGUCUGCAACUCGGCUGCAUGAAGCUGGGAAUCGCUAGUAAUGGCGUAUCAGAUCGACGCCGUGAUACGUUCCCGGGCCUUGUACACAC